rnacentral:rRNA from 1 species
GACGAACGCUGGCGGCGUGCUUAACACAUGCAAGUCGAACGGAAAGGCCCUGCUUUUGUGGGGUGCUCGAGUGGCGAACGGGUGAGUAACACGUGAGUAACCUGCCCUUGACUGUGUGAUAACUUCAGGAAACUGGGGCUAAUACCGGAUAGGAGCUCCUGCUGCAUGGUGGGGGUUGGAAAGUUUCGGCGGUUGGGGCUGGACUCGCGGCUUAUCAGCUUGUGGGUGGGGUAGUGGCUUACCAAGGCUUUGGCGGGUGGCCGGCCUGAGAGGGUGAACGGCCACAUUGGGACUGAGAUACGGCCCAGACUCCUACGGGAGGCAGCAGUGGGGAAUAUUGCACAAUGGGCGGACGCGUGAUGCAGAAACGCCGCGUGCGGGAUGACGGCCUUCGGGUUGUAAACCGCUUUAGCCUGUGACGAAGCGUGAGUGACGGUAAUGGGUAAAGAAGCACCGGCUAACUACGUG